CAUGGUCAUGUUAGACUUAGAGUUGGUGGAGAUGAUUUCCCAGACAGUUGAGGAGAUGAUUUUUUUGGCCCAAUCAAAUUUAUCUGGAUUGAGCAAAGAGACAAAAAGAAAAUUGAUCCAUUCAUAUGGUACAUGGAUGAUGUUAAUGAUGUCCUUGGUAGGAGAAAUGUUCUUUCCAAACCAGAGCCCCUUCUUUGCCAAGUAGAGCUUCUUCAGUACUUGGAUUGCGGUGGAUAAGAUUCUCUAUUGCCUCUAUAUUCUCCUGCUCGAGGUGCAGAGUACCUAGGCAGACAGUAUACGCUUGAUUAAGAUAAGCAGGACUAGGAAAUCCUGGGAGGGGAUGUUGUGUCAGAUAAUUUGUUCUCACCUAGAUCAUGCAGAGCAUCAAGGGCUGCCAUGUCCUCAGAGGCCAGAUCAACACCAUCCUCCACCUCUUUAUCUUUCUUACCAUCAGAUUCAGAUUAAGGUCUACUAGGGUCUGAUUGUGUAUCUGUGAGUGUAUUUUGUUCAAUAUGAGAGCAGUUCUUAGGAGUAAAUAGUGAUUCAAAAAUCAUUGGGUCGGCCAAAAUGUCCCUCUAAAAACUAUCAGACUGCUAGGUAGAGGUCUCCAUUAGUGGAUCUGGACCAAACUGGAUCACUUGGUUGAUAAUUCUGUUCUGUUGCUGGUGGGUGGGCUGGGGCACAUGCACUUUCUGUAUAUGUUAUUGGGCCUGUAUGGGCACUAAUGCCUGAAUGUGCACAUAGACAUGUGCAUGAUCUAUAGGCCCAUUGGGUUGGAUGUUCAAGUUUAAGUCUGGUAGGAUUUGAAAGGUUGGCGCCAAAGGUCCAUUGGCAGAAGCAUCAGAACUGACACUGUGAUCUGGUGGAAUAUUGAUACGUCUCUAAUGUAUCUAUAAUUUUUGAUUGUUCCAUGCUAUUAUAUUACCUGUUUUGGAUGUUUAUGGGCUUUACUUUACACCUUUAUAUCAUUUUUGGGACUAACCUACUAACCGGAGGCCCAGCCCGUAUUGCUGUUUUUUUGCCUAUUUCAGUAUUUCGAAGAAAAGGAAUAUCAAACGGAGUCCAAACGGAAUGAAACCUUCAGGAGCGAUCUUUUUGGAACAAACGCAAUCCAGAGGACUUGGAGUGCAAGUCAAGAAGCAAUCGAGAAAGCCACGAGGGUGGAGGCCCCCCCCUGAUGGGUGUGCCCCCUGUCUCGUGGGCCCUCGGGCAUCCACCGACGUACUUCUGCCUCCUAUAUAUACCUAUGUACCCCGAAAACAUCAGGGGAGACCACAAAAAGCUAUUUCCACCACCGUAAUCUUCUGUAUCCGCGAGAUCCCAUCUUGGAGCCUUCGCCGGCGCUCCGCCGGAGGGGGAAUCGACCACAGAGGGCUUCUACAUCAACAACAUAGCCCUUCCGAUGAGUUGUGAGUAGUUUACCACAGACCUUCGGGUCCAUAGUUAUUAGCUAGAUGGCUUCUUAUCUCUCUUUGGAUCUCAAUAUCAUGUUCUCGUUGAUCUUCUUAGAGAUUUAUUCGAUGUAACUCUUUUUGUGGUGUGUUUGUCGAGAUCCGAUGAAUUGUGGGUUUAUGAUCAAGUUUAUCUAUGAGAAAUAUUUGAAUCUCCUCUGAAUUUUUUUAUGUAUGAUUGAGUUAUCUUUGCAAGUCUCUUCGAAUUAUCAGUUUGGUUUGGCCUACUAGAUUGAUCUUUCUUGCAAUGGGACAAGUGCUUAGCUUUGGGUUCAAUCUUGCCGUGUCCUUUCCCAGUGACAGCAGAGGCAGCAAGGCACGUAUAGUAUUGUUGCCAUCGAGGAUAAAAAGAUGGGGUUUAUAUCAUAUUGCAUGAGUUUAUCCCUCUACAUCAUGUCAUCUUUCUUAAAGCGUUACUCUGUUCUUAUGAACUUAAUACUCUAGAUGCAUGCUGGAUAGCGGUCGAUGUGUGGAGUAAUAGUAGUAGAUGCAGGCAGGAGUCGGUCUACUUGUCACGGACGUGAUGCCUAUAUACAUGAUCAUGCCUAGAUAAUCUCAUAAUUAUUCGCUUUUGUAUCAAUUGCUCGACGGUAACUUGUUCACCCACUGUAAUACUUAUGCUAUCUUGAGAGAAGCCACUGGUGAAACCUAUGGCCCUCGAGUCUAUCUUUUAUCAUAUAAGCUUUCAAUCUACUUUUAUUUGCAUCUUUACUUUUCCAAUCUAUAUUAUAAAAAUAUCAAAAAUAUAUUUAUCUUAUCAUAUUAUCUCUAUCAGAUCUCACUUUCGCAAGUGGCCGUGAUGGGAUUGACAACCCCUUUAUUGUGUUCGUUGCGAGUUCUUUGUUUGUUUGUGUAGGUGUGUGAGACUUGUGAGGAGCCUCCUACUUGAUUGAUACCUUGGUUCUCAAAAACUGAGGGAAGUACUUACGCUACUAUUGCUGCAUCACCCUUUCCUCUUCAAGGAAAACCAACGCAAGCUCAAGACGUAGCAAAUAUCUGAAACUGUAAUGUUGUUGUUGGCAUUGGGGGCAUUAUUAGCCUCCUCCUCCAUAGGCUCAAAAAUAUCUUGCAGUGCCAGAAAUUCACCAACAUGCAUCUCUUGAUCAACAUCAUGUGGCAUAGCCCAGUGCCCCCACCCUGGCAUUUCACCCUGGUCCUCCUCAUCUCCUAAGUUGUCAUUGAGGUGCUCAUCUGGUGCCCCCACAUUGAGAGCAAGUUGAAGAUUAGGCUGAGGGGCUAGUUGCUGAUUGAGUGGUGGAUGAUCUUCUUGCUCAUGUUGCUGUAGUGGACCAAAGAACAGAUUAUGCUGAUUAGGACGGAAAUUCUCCUAUUGAGGGGCAGGAUGUGGGUUACCAUGAGGGUCAAUGGGGUCCUCAUCAGGUGCUUCCUCACCCAAAAUCUAUUGCUGAAGGAUAACAACAAGAAUAGUAAGAGAGUCUGUUUGAAAAUCGUAUCCUUCACCAAAUACAAUGCUAGUUGGGAUAUCUCUUAGCUCCUCUACUCUAACUUUCACCAUCGGACUAGCCCUUGUACUCCUGGCUCUAUCCCACUACAAAAAUUUCCCAAUUCCUAAUAGCAUUGUUUACUUCCUCAAUGUUCCUUCUAUCUAGAGGGUAACCACAUAGUAAGAUCCAAGCCUCUCUAUUAAGCACCAAACGUCUCCAAUUCAUACCCUUAUUGUGCUUUUGGAAUAUGACAUGACCAUCAGUAAACAUAUGUGGACUAGAGGAGACCAGUUCAUCUUUGUCGAAGACACUGCUCAUCUUAAUAUAUGCUUGCCCAAAAAGACAGGGCUCAAUCUCAGAAAAAACCUAACUGCUUCUCAUUGAGGAAAUCUGAAAGUACCUCUCUGAUAGUGUUGAAGGCCACCGGGAGGUUGGGCAGCGAAACUAUGGAUGCAAUCACACAUUCCUCAUGUGUCGACGACGCUGCACCAUUGAUGACCUUGACUAUCGUCGGCCUACCUUCAACCUCAAUGUUGUGAUGAGGAAGGAAGGGAGUUGGAUUGAAGGGGAACGUCACCAUUGACGCGUGGUGUGAGAUUUGAGCUGUGGCGCAGCGAGGGGAAGAGUUGGAUGGAAUAAUCGACUCUUGGAGAUGCCAGGCUAUGGAGCUUUGGGAAGAGGCAGGGCAAUGGCUGCCAACCCGGAGUGAUUGCAGAGCAUUAACCUGAUUAGACCGAUUGGUCGGCACCAAUACGAUAUGGAUAGUCACAAUCGCGGGAACAGUGGGAAGAUGCCUCGGAAUUUCGAUCAUCGGGUGAACCUGGGUGUUGGGCACAUUGACUGGGCUUGGUUGGGCCUGAGAGAAACAAUCCCACUCAAUAUGGCCCCAACGCUUACAAUGCCUACAUUUGAUCCUAUUUUUGCACUCCGGCCUGAUGUGGCCUGUUAGCAGGCAGCGCACACAGAAGGGGCCUUGUGGGCCGUUUUGAAUAUGCGGAGAUCCUGCCUUAUUGCCAGAAACUGCAGCAUUGAUAGCAUUAACGCCUAAGCAUCCAUCCGCGCCCGUAGAUGGUGCCACACGAUUAUCAUUGAAUGUCUAGUAUGAUCGAAGAUCACGAUUGCUUGGAUUUUGGAAAACUGCAGGGGAUCUAAGAGCUUGAAGAUAAGAUUUGCUAGGAUGGCGUCGAAAGAUAUGGGUCCAUGCAUCCUCCUCAUAUUUGAGAUACUAAUCUAGUUCCCAGGAGGAAUUUGGCCCGCCAUUUCCCCAAAGAAGGAAAUUCAUAUUCAAAAGAGGCAGAUUGAUAUUACCUUCCUUGAUGAUAGAGAAACCAACUUCCUUGGAUGAGACAGAGAACUUGAAGGACCGGUUUUGCAAGAGCUUGACUUUGAACAAAGAUGCCUGGCCUCCAAAGCAUGAGAGAAGAAUAGUGCUAACAGAUUCUUCAGAUAAUCUGAUCUUAGAUCUAGUGAACUCUACCACUAGGAGGAAUUCUUCAAUGUCCUUACCUUCCUCGAAGUUGAUAGGAACACCCCACUUUCUCCAUAUCUCAGACGCAAAGUCUUGUCCUUUGUCAAAAUUCAGAUCAGCGAGCGCCAUGGGCAAGCGCAAGGUGAUCUCCACAGCAGAAAACUCCAGCACUGGGCGGUUGGCCCUGUGGACGUCGGGGCUGGGGUGGCCAUCGGCGGGGGCAAGGAGCGGGGUCAUGCAGUGCACAUGCCUGAGAGAGACAUUUACCAGACUCUUGUUGGACAUUUACGGCCGUAGACCGUAAGUAUGAUCUAAAUCAUAACAACUGCAUAUUAUACUACUUCCCCUCGUAAGUACAUGAAAAUCAUAAAGUAUUUCCCAUCUGCAAUAAUUCUGUUACAUAACGAUAUCACCACUCUAGCAUACAUCAAUGGCCCUCACUGCAAUUUAGGGAUCUAUGUGAGGAAUAACUAUUUAUCCGUCAAUCUUAAAUAAAUUGAGCCCCAAAUUGGGGAGCUAUUAUCAUCCCAUAUGUUGAUGCAUCAGGAAUAAGGACAUUUUCUGGCAUUAGGGGAGAUUGGUACCACAAAGAAUGCCAAGAACUAAGUCAUUAAGAUUUAGUCCUUAUGUCCACGUACUUCAGAAUCUGAACUAGAAGUUCAGAGAAUCAUAUAUUUGCAACACAUUACAAAUCUGCCACAUACAUCUAUUGAUGACAAUGGUGUCACUAAAUUUUAUAUUCCUGCAGUAAAAUGUUAAAGAAAAUGGAGGUACCUAAUAAACCACCGUUCUCCCUAAAUGAGAGCAAGAGGGGGAGACAUAUGACUACAUGAGAUAUAAUUGCUCACAUGCUUCCGCGAAAACAAAGGAAACUAGAUCAUCAAUCGGUAAAUGCAGUUCAACAUCAAGAUGAAAGACACCUCAUAGGAUGCUCAUCAUCCAAAGCCCAGCAUAGAAGUGCGCACUAUUUUUAGUGCUGAGACAUCGAAACACCUUGACUCUAUUGUUGUAGGAAAUCACAGUGAGUUAAAAACGAAUAAACACAUUUCCACAAAUUUCAUCGGUUUCACCAGAAUCAUAUAACAAAAGACUACAUUUGUCGACAUUUAUUUCUUCUCAUCAUUGCUAAAACCUUUUGGGCACUGAACCUAAAUCCAUGGUAGAGUGCUCUUGCACUCAUAUUGGUUCACAUGAAGAAUAGAACUUGCUCAACAAAAGUGUUGUAUUUACCAUAGUAAUACAUACUCCUCAUAAGUAUCUUCCAUAUGGAAUACAAGUAACUUCUCAUUCAUGAAUAAAGUCAAUGAGGCGGAGAUAAAUCGAUGCAUGUAGCAAAAAGGGUUCACGCAGGGACCCGACAUCAAUUAUGAUGUAACAUACCCUCUUGAUAUGAGUGGAAUUAUGUUUGGAUACCAUCAGAAGUACAAAUAAUAUUAUCCAUUCAGUUAAUAGAUCAGUGACUACAUACUCUGAUGAAUCACUCAUUUCAGAUUUCUGUAUUUAAGUCCCUGGAGGGCUUAUAAUUCCAAAUCUAAAAACAAAUCGCAACAUGUUUUGUGUAAACCUUCAGAAGUUACUCCAUGAGUCAAAAUACUCGGAAAUCACAUGGUACUACCGACUAAAUGAGUCCCUUCUUUAAAAGGACUACUCAAAUAAUGAUGAUUAUUUAUGUGGUUAAUAAAGAAUUCCAAAUUCGAUUCCUUGUAUCACUUAGUGUACAUCGAUGACCUCAUCAUCAACAUCUAUACAAGACCUAAACAUACGCAAAAUCAUCUCAAGACGGAAAAUUUGGAUUCAACCAAAUUUAGCUUAAGUUUACAACUUUAGCAUUCCCUCAAAAACAGGUUAUCUACAUUAUCCAAAACAUAUAUGAGUAGUUCAAUGUGGAUAUCUCAUGCCAAUAAAAGAAACGUAUGGUCAUACUGCCCUGAUAGGGUAUAAUCCAUUCAUACCUGUUGGGGAUAAUGAAAUGAUAUCAGGACAUGAAGCUUUGUAUCCCACUAAUGCCAAAGCACUCAUAUAAUUGCAAACUACGCCAGGUCUGACACUGUAUUUGCUAUGUUUUUUCAGACUGCAACCUCCAACAAAAGGUAUGCGGUCGAUAUAAGGAAUAAGAGCUUAUAUCUUAAGCUCAUCAUAUAGCUUCGACAAUUCCAUCAGGAAAAUCAAGAUAUGACCAUGAUAUGAUAUGAUGAUAUUGGCUCUUUAUUUGAUCCCAACAAUGCCAUAUGAAUGACUGAAUUUGUUGGAAUAACCUUCUUAUGGAAGUCAUCUAAAUAUACUUUAGCGGCGACUACCUCCAUCCCGGUUAUUAAUCCCCUUUGUCGUUUGUGUUAAAUUUUGACCAAAUAUUUAACUAACAAAAUGUUAAUGCAUGCCAAAAAAAAUUAUAUCGUUGCAUUCGUAUUUGAACAUAGUUUUCAACGAUAUAAUUUCUAGUGACAUGCAUGAACAUUUUCUUAGUUAAUUUCAUGAUUAAAAUUUGACACAAAAUACAAUGCGGACCAAUAAAAAAGAUGGAGGUAGUACUUCCAGUUAUCAUUCUGACAUAAUUGUUUUAUCUAGAAGCUUUACAAAAUAUGCAUUGCUCUGCCGAAUAAUUAACCGCACCAAAAAUCAUGUGGUCCAGAUUCAUCAGAAUCACAUAACUUGAUUAUCAUGAUGGUACCACUUGUGCUACUUAAUAACUACGUGUUAUAUGAAGAGCAAUAUCAUAAAUCACAAUACUUGGAAAUUACUUUUCCUCACGAAUUACUGAAAAGUGAAGAAACAAAUUGCAAACAGAAUACUGUGAAAAUCCAACAAAUAUCAUAAUUUCUUGAUUAUGUCAAUGGAAUUGGUAUGACACAUCCUCUAGAUUUGCAAACUUCAGGGGAGUAAUUUCCCAAACUAUAACAUGUUAGCAAUCAUCAGAUUACAUAUAUUGUACUCUUUUUCCCUUAAUGAAUUCCCCCCUAAUGGUUUCUCAUAAAUGGUUUUUAAUGAGACAAUAUAAACACAAGUAUCUGUAUAUGUCGUAUCAUUUCUCCUUAUAUUUUUCCACUACGUUUUAAAGGAGUUUUCAAUGGCAUAUCAGAUCGCACUCUUUUCCCUUAUGAGUUUUCUCUCAAAGUUUCUCAUAAUGAUUUUUAAUGAGGCAAUAUCUUCUCAAAGAUAAUAUGUCAGACUUUCCAUUUUCUUUAUUGGGUUUUUAAAGGAAAUCCUCAAUACAUAGUAAUUGUUCUCUAAACUCACCAAUGAUUUUUCUCCUUCUUCAAAGGUUUUUCUCAUAUGAGUUAUCAAGAGACAAUUAUCAUUGUAUGUUGCAUCUUUCUCUCCUUAUUAAUUCUCCCAUUGGGUUUAAAGGAGUUUUAUCAACAUAUCUACACUAUUCUCCUCAUAUUUUCCCCACAGGAUUUUCGGAGAAGACUUUAAAGACUAUACAGGGAUUUCUCAAGAUGAAUGACGAAUAUACAAGAAUCAUCCGACAAUGGAUUAUUUAAGAAGAGGUCUUACACAAGGGAGAGCGUUAGGAAUAGAUUUACAUGCUAGUUAAUUAACACAGGUUAAUUAGCAAACAAUCCUUAGUUCAAAAAGGUGUGUCCAACACCAAACAGUCGUCUCGUACGGACGCGUUCUAUCCCCCUCUCUCUAUAUUGUAACUGCGGCCUCUACAAGGCGUCUCUUCAGGGUGUAUAUAUAAUUUGAGAAUCAAUGAAAUAGAUGAUGUUCCUUCGUUCAAUUACUUUUACUUUCAACACUCCUGUCCUUCUCCUACGAGUUGCCACGUGCCACGUCCCUCACGCACGCAUACACGUAUGCGGCCGUACGAAACGGCCCUGCCGUCGCGUGCCGACCCCGGCGGAACAGUGCCACACGUACCUCUCCGACGUGGCGCCCCGUUCACACCACUACACGAUACGGAAAGAUCUAGCUGGACGAAUCACCAUGGAUCGAUCAUCAUAGAAUAGUAGGGAGGAUGAGUCACCGCAAGGACGAGCGAGAGAUCCGAGUUGCGUUGCUUGUGGGACACACACCGGGAGGCCUGUAGGAUCCACGUACCUCACCUCACCGCCCACUGCAUGCAUUAAUCCAUGAUUGCCACCCUCCAACCUGCUGUUCGAUUGCUCUUCAAUUUGUUCAUAAACAACUCACAAUCUGUUCUUCUCUACGUACCUCAUCCAGGACGCUACAGCUACAGGAGCGCCUUCAGGGCAGAUAAUACUCUAGUCAAGCGUGAUUUAUGGAGUUCACAGGAUAGCUAGAUAACCACUGUUUGUUUAUUAAAGCUUCGGUCAUUCAUGUCCCGGUUAGGUUGUCAUUGUCCUGAUCGAGCAUCCAAAACAGCGGUCUCUUUCGUCGACAUAGAGAAGCCGCCAGAUUAUGGAAAAUGCUCCAAGCUUUGCAACAGUCCAUAUUAUGGAGUAUAUGUAUGACAGUAUGAGCUUGCGCGACCGGUGGGGGGUGAGGGCGACGAGAAGGUAUGCAUGCACAUAUGCCUCUCAUGAUUCCAUAUGAAAAUAAACUAAUCCACUCCAUGUCAUCGUCGUCGUACCCACUACUACCUCCGUCCUGGUUUGCUGGUCCCUUUUAUAAUUUGUGCUAAAAUUUGAUCAAAUAUUUAACAAUUAAAAUGUUAAUGCAUGUCAACAAGAAUUAUAUCGUUGGAUGAUAUUUGAACAUAGUUUUCAAUGAUAUAAUUUUUAAUAACAUGCAUGAAAUUUUUUUAGUUAGAUUUAUGAUGAAAAUUUGACACAAAAUAUAAUAGGACCAAUAAAUCAGGAUGGAGGUAGUAGUAAUUAACUAGUGAUUGAUAGCAGGUCUACUGCUGUGCCGUGGGGCAACCAAUCCUAUAAUGCAUGGCGCAGUGCAUACAGAACUAUAAUAUGCAUGGUAUAUAUCUCAUCAGAAGAAACAAUAAUUGCAAUGAAACUACUGUUGUCUUACUCCUUGCUCGGUGUUGCUCGGUGUUUUGAUCACACACAAAGCAGGUGUUUUGAUCAUGAGAAUGCAAAGCUUUGCCAAUCUUUUUAUGUUCGCAUAUAUCUAUAUUUCUUAAAAUAAACAUUCAGCUAAGGGCUUAGCUAUGCCUGCUGGACAAGGAGAGCGGUGGGAGCCGCCCAUUUUUCUCAAUCCAAUCCGUUGCUCCAGCUCCAUGCCCCUUAGCCUGAUAGACUGACGGGUCACCCGCAAUCCAAUUCGACCAUGCACAUGCAUGUCGACACACAUUCGUUUCUUCCGUCUCAUGUCCACUCUUGGAUAAGCAAACACUACACGAGGCCACGCCAAUGUUCUCACACAACUCCAAUGUCUCAGCAUAUGCACGAUAAGUAAUUUUCUCCAUCGAGUCAAUCGGCCGGCCAGUGAUUCCCGAGUCAAGAGAGCAGAGACGAGGUGCUUAUGUGGAAUUGGGAAGCAGGUGCCACGUCCUCGUCGCCAGACCAUUUGCCUUGAUGUGUCUCUCUUUGUCCAUCGUAGAUGAGGCCUAGCAACCGAUCCAUACACGUGCGUACGAACACGAACUUUCAUGUUUAGAGAGCAGCGACUUUUGACCGAGGCACGUAGACCGGUAGACGUACGUGCUCGCGGUCUGUCGGGACCAUUCAAUCGACAGCGAUAGCGAUCCAACGGCCGCGCAUGCUCGCUCCGAAACUGCCCGGUCGGUUGGCCGAUGGAUCACAUGCAUGCAUGCUGGUCUUUGGACUUGACCACUGUGUUGCGCGUACUAUUCCCAUUAGGCUAUUAGAGCAAUUCUAGUAGACCCCGCAUCCCGCCCCGACCCCUAAAAUAACCGUCAAAAUGUGGGUCGGGGCCGAAAAUGCAUCCCGAUCAGAACCCGCAUCUUGCCUCGGCCUGCAAAAAUUUUUGCGGGGCGCGGCAAAUUCCCCGCCCCAACCAGGGAAAACGCCCCCCCUACCCCCCCACCCCCGCGCGCGGCUGCGUGCCCUACAUAUGAGCGGAAGCGGUUGGUGGGGGGGACAUUUCAUCCCGCGCUUUCUCCCCCACCAACCACCCCUCCUCCCCCCUCGCGCCGCCGCCGGUCGUCGCCCAAGAUUCCGGUGAGAGCAGCCGGCAGGAGCACGCUGGAAGGCCUCCACGCGCACGAGGCCUCCCUUCCCUUCCUCCCUGCAUCGACGGACCGCCGGAUUUGCAGAUCUGCGGCUUCAUCGCCGGCAGUUGGAUUUGGCUUUUUUCCUGCCGCCGGUUACUGCCCCAGGCGAUGGAGUGGUCGGCGAGCCUCUCCCGCAGCCCAGGCAAGGGCGCAUCGCCACAUGCAGGCGCGGGUUCGUCCGCCCGCCGUUGCCGAAGGUUUGUGGGCAUGGACUCGUCCGGCCGUCCACCGUGCUCGGUGCUCGCGCAGCGUCUUUGUGGCCUGCCGAUGUCGCUCAUACAGUGCGACGACUGCCCACGCCAAGUGCUGCGGCUCACUUCGGGCACGCGGAAGCACCCCAGAUGGGUGUUCUACAAAUGCGAAAACGAUGGGGUACGUGCACUUGCGGUAGCUCAUAGCUCAUUCUUAAGUUCAAAUACCGUAGCUCACUCCGAGAUUGCUCAAUCUUUUGUGUAGGACGAUGGAUGCUCAUUUUGGUUUUGGGAAGGCCAAUACAUUGAUUUGUAGGUAGAAAGAAACUUAAUAGAUGUUAGUGCACUCCUUAGUACAAUCGAAGGCAAUGAUGCAGAUGCAUGUGCAACUAAAGAGGAAGCAACGUCGACUUCUUCAAAAUCAAAGAUGAAGAAUGAAGAAAGCAUCAAGAAUGAACAAAACAAGAUCAAGAAUCCACAGAUCAACAAUGAGUGCAUGGAGAAGAUAUUGCUACAACUAGUGGGAGCAGUUAUGGAAGUUGGAAAUCUUCUGAAAUGCAUUCUUGUGGUUCUUGUUUUCUUUGGAUUUACUAUUCUAGCCAAGAUUUGGUGAUAUAUUUUGUAUCUAAUGUUGUUGCAAAAGCAAAUAAAUGCAUUAUGAUAGAUCAAUCUAAGUUUUACGGGCCGGGACAAGCUGCGCCUGAUCAUAACCCGCAUAAGCCGACCCGUAAAAAAGUAUAUUCCGCGAAUAUGCUUUUUUACGGGUUCAUUAUGCAGGGUCUGCAUCUGCGCCAACCCGCGCCGGCCCCCAAAAAUUAUUUUGCGCAAACUGCAAAUGAGUUAUGCGGGUCGGCGGGAUGCGGAGUCUGCUAGAGUUUCUCUUACCGGUCACCAUUGUUGAAACUUCGGGCGCCACGUUGUGAUUGCUACUGUGUGGGUGUUCGUAGCACUGGUCGCUUUUCCGCUGGGCGCCUCAUAAUUGGGUCAUUUGGGCAGUUUUUUACGGUAUCAAAAGCGGUCGGCAUGGUAGCUCUCCGUCGAAAACAAAAGUGACAAGCUCAGCAGCACCCUGAGUGUGACGUUUUAGCUGAGAAGUGUCCACGAGCACUCCAAACCCAUACUGACGCGUACGCUUCAUUUUGUCGUCAUAGAGUUGUAACGAAACACUAGGCGUAGAAGAAACGACGAGCAGUCGUUUUCNNNNNNNNNNNNNNNNNNNNNNNNNNNNNNNNNNNNNNNNNNNNNNNNNNNNNNNNNNNNNNNNNNNNNNNNNNNNNNNNNNNNNNNNNNNNNNNNNNNNNNNNNNNNNNNNNNNNNNNNNNNNNNNNNNNNNNNNNNNNNNNNNNNNNNNNNNNNNNNNNNNNNNNNNNNNNNNNNNNNNNNNNNNNNNNNNNNNCUGGCGACUCGGGGGCGAAAAACCUAGCGCCGCCGCCUCUGCACCCUAGCCCCUCCAUCGUCUCGCCACCGCCAGAGGCUCCGGCUGGCAAAGCUCGCCUGGAUCCGGGGACGGCGGCGGCGGGGCAACUCUCCGGCUGGCGCGAGGUGGCUGGAUGUGGUGCCUCAUGCGCGUGCGCGCGUGUGGCGGCGGGGAGGUGGUGUGCGGCGGCGCGGGUCGCAGGCGAGGGGGGUGGAGGGCGGCGGACUCGGGCUGGCUGGGCGAGGCUUGCUCGGAGGUGAUGCGCCCUCUCUUGGGUUGUCGAACCUCCGGCGGCUGCUGUCGACCACGUCCAGAUCUGGCGCCUAGGCGUGGGGCGUUUCGGCAGAGGUUGGUGGCGGAGGCUGUAGGCCGGUAGUGGAUGGCGAGUAGCAGGUGUGGUCGGAGGCAGGGGCUGGUCUCUGCUGCGGUUGGCAGCUGAUGGGGGCACGAAUCUGGCUCUGUCCGUGGUGGUGCCGGUNNNNNNNNNNNNNNNNNNNNNNNNNNNNNNNNNNNNNNNNNNNNNNNNNNNNNNNNNNNNNNNNNNNNNNNNNNNNNNNNNNNNNNNNNNNNNNNNNNNNNNNNNNNNNNNNNNNNNNNNNNNNNNNNNNNNNNNNNNNNNNNNNNNNNNNNNNNNNNNNNNNNNNNNNNNNNNNNNNNNNNNNNNNNNNNNNNNNNNNNNNNNNNNNNNNNNNNNNNNNNNNNNNNNNNNNNNNNNNNNNNNNNNNNNNNUGGACACGGCGAGGACGCUUCCGUGGUCUGACAGGGGGAUGUGAGAUCUCGCGCUCAUGUGCUUGCCGGACUCGGCGUCCUAUGUGCGGCAUUGAGGUGCAGGCUGCGAAGCUUCAGGCGAAGGCCUACUGCUGACCUUGUCGGCAGCGAUGAUGGUGACGCCCUCGGGCGCCACUUCCCUUCUUGAAGGCAUCAUUGUGAAGCUUCAUAGUCUGUUCUUGAUGUGCUCCGGGUGAAAGCCUAAAAUCCUUCCUUGGAUUGGACGAUGACGCCAUCUUUGAUGUCGUUUCCCCCUUGGGGGCAUAGUCUUCGAGCCAUGGAUCCGUCGUGGGUUGCUUGGUGUCUCGGUUGGAGUGUUGUUGGUCUGUUGGUCUGCUUGGUGGCGGCGGUGGAAGUGAUAUGUGGCGGCAGCCUUUGCCUUGGUCAUCUUGGGGCUGUUGGUCGACCUCUCUCUUGGGGGCUCGUGGCGGCGGUGACGACUCGGAGUUUGGUGCCCUUCGACGUCGCUUGAGGUUUUGUUGUCUCGCGUAGUGUUCUGGCUCUCUCUAUCUGUGAUGGAGGCCGUGGUGUGGCUCAGAGGAGGUGCAGGGCUGUCUCGACGGAACAUUGCCCUUCGGCACGGUCAGCGGCCCUCUCUGUCGCGGCGUGGCUAGGCAAUGGGAAACCCUUCGACGGUGGUUGCGACUCUCCUAGUUCUUCAAAGUGAUGAGUGAUCGCAGGGCAGCAGACGACUUCUCCUCAGCGUCUUCUCGGUGUCAGAUCUCCUUUCGUCUGAUCCAACAAUGCUAGUUCCUGCUCUUCUCGGUCUACCUACUGAUGAUAGAUGCUAAGUUUUUGGUGUUGGCUGCUUGUUGUAG
rnacentral:lncRNA from 1 species